rnacentral:rRNA from 1 species
AGAGUUUGAUCAUGGCUCAGAUUGAACGCUGGCGGCAGGCCUAACACAUGCAAGUCGAGCGGAUGAAGGGAGCUUGCUCCUGGAUUCAGCGGCGGACGGGUGAGUAAUGCCUAGGAAUCUGCCUGGUAGUGGGGGAUAACGUCCGGAAACGGGCGCUAAUACCGCAUACGUCCUGAGGGAGAAAGUGGGGGAUCUUCGGACCUCACGCUAUCAGAUGAGCCUAGGUCGGAUUAGCUAGUUGGUGGGGUAAAGGCCUACCAAGGCGACGAUCCGUAACUGGUCUGAGAGGAUGAUCAGUCACACUGGAACUGAGACACGGUCCAGACUCCUACGGGAGGCAGCAGUGGGGAAUAUUGGACAAUGGGCGAAAGCCUGGUCCAGCCAUGCCGCGUGUGUGAAGAAGGUCUUCGGAUUGUAAAGCACUUUAAGUUGGGAGGAAGGGCAGUAAGUUAAUACCUUGCUGUUUUGACGUUACCAACAGAAUAAGCACCGGCUAACUUCGUGCCAGCAGCCGCGGUAAUACGAAGGGUGCAAGCGUUAAUCGGAAUUACUGGGCGUAAAGCGCGCGUAGGUGGUUCAGCAAGUUGGAUGUGAAAUCCCCGGGCUCAACCUGGGAACUGCAUCCAAAACUACUGAGCUAGAGUACGGUAGAGGGUGGUGGAAUUUCCUGUGUAGCGGUGAAAUGCGUAGAUAUAGGAAGGAACACCAGUGGCGAAGGCGACCACCUGGACUGAUACUGACACUGAGGUGCGAAAGCGUGGGGAGCGAACAGGAUUAGAUACCCUGGUAGUCCACGCCGUAAACGAUGUCGACUAGCCGUUGGGAUCCUUGAGAUCUUAGUGGCGCAGCUAACGCGAUAAGUCGACCGCCUGGGGAGUACGGCCGCAAGGUUAAAACUCAAAUGAAUUGACGGGGGCCCGCACAAGCGGUGGAGCAUGUGGUUUAAUUCGAAGCAACGCGAAGAACCUUACCUGGCCUUGACAUGCUGAGAACUUUCCAGAGAUGGAUUGGUGCCUUCGGGAACUCAGACACAGGUGCUGCAUGGCUGUCGUCAGCUCGUGUCGUGAGAUGUUGGGUUAAGUCCCGUAACGAGCGCAACCCUUGUCCUUAGUUACCAGCACCUCGGGUGGGCACUCUAAGGAGACUGCCGGUGACAAACCGGAGGAAGGUGGGGAUGACGUCAAGUCAUCAUGGCCCUUACGGCCAGGGCUACACACGUGCUACAAUGGUCGGUACAAAGGGUUGCCAAGCCGCGAGGUGGAGCUAAUCCCAUAAAACCGAUCGUAGUCCGGAUCGCAGUCUGCAACUCGACUGCGUGAAGUCGGAAUCGCUAGUAAUCGUGAAUCAGAAUGUCACGGUGAAUACGUUCCCGGGCCUUGUACACACCGCCCGUCACACCAUGGGAGUGGGUUGCUCCAGAAGUAGCUAGUCUAACCGCAAGGGGGACGGUUACCACGGAGUGAUUCAUGACUGGGGUGAAGUCGAAACAAGGUA